AGGCUUUUCUACCUUUGGCUCCGUGAGCAGAGUUGGUCUUUCUGUUGGGAAUGGGGAAGCAGGGAACAGCUCCCUGGGAAUCUCUUACAGCAAAAUUAGAAGGGGAGAUGACCCUAAAACCUCAUGCAAAUCAAGGAUCAUCAGGCUAUGUGCAACACUCUUCAUGGGCUCCACAUGGUCUGAGCACAUAGACAUGAAAACCCUCCACCCUAUGCUGACUAUGGCAGGUGGAAUAGGAGCAGGAUAACUGCAAUGAGGACUCCCAUUCAGAGAAAAGAAGCAUGGGAACACAUCCGGCACUGGUUCAUGACAACGAUCAGAUGCUGAUGGGCUGGAGGAAGGAGCCCCCCUACCCCGGCAGUGGAGCUUUGUCCAUCGUCCAUGUCUCUGGGCUUUUCCUUCUGGGAGGCUCUUAUCCCCCAUGGCUACCCCUGAAACAGGCAUUGGUGAGAGGGGCCCCUGGGAGCUUCAGAGUGUUCACCUCUACUUCCUGCUGCUGCAGAUUGUGGAUCCCAGCGAUUGUAUUAGGAAGUAACGGUCAUAGUCAAUACUUUUUAUUGUUUGUUCAGUGCUUUCAAAAAAAAAAAAAACUUAGCAGGCUUUCAAUCUAUCUGCUUCUGAUCAGUUUCUUAUAUAAAAUCCACAACUACAGACCUGCAGCCAUCAUUCUAACACUGCAGGGGAACCAGGAGGGACUUGAGAAAGUUAAAUUCAAACUUGCCCUGUGCCUAACCACACUGCAGUUUACUUUGAUGUGAAGACCUUUAGAGUGAUAUGUAAGGGCAUCUCCUCCCAGAGCGCCCCUCUCCCUUUGCAGUCUGGGACUUCAACUGGAAGAUAGACAAUGAAGAUACACACCUGACUUGCUCCCACACUUGCGUCCUUUCUCACCUCCUCCCCGCCAUCCUCCAGACCUGAGAUCAGGGCUCUCCUGUCUGUUCUCCUCUUUAGAUAAAGCUCUAAGGUCAGUUCUGUCAGGCUGGCUUCUUGAUAUAUUACAGAGAAAGUUAAAGACAUCCAGAAUAUCCUUUUUCUUAAUAAAGACUGUCUUUCAAGAC
ensembl:lncRNA